rnacentral:sRNA from 1 species
GCCGCGCGGGUUUGAUCGGGAUUCUCAUCAAUUAAUUUACUGAAACGAGACCAGUUUUGCUUUUCGAUGGCGUGCCGCCACUCUCCGGAGCGCAGCGGAUUACAAAGAGAGCAAACCCUCAAAUCCUAUCUAGUCGGAGUUUCAUCACAUCAUCCGCGCGGCUCUUUU